GAUGAACGCUGGCGGCGUGCCUAAUACAUGCAAGUCGAGCGAACAGAUGAGGAGCUUGCUCCUCUGACGUUAGCGGCGGACGGGUGAGUAACACGUGGAUAACCUACCUAUAAGACUGGGAUAACUUCGGGAAACCGGAGCUAAUACCGGAUAAUAUAUUGAACCGCAUGGUUCAAUAGUGAAAGACGGUUUUGCUGUCACUUAUAGAUGGAUCCGCGCCGCAUUAGCUAGUUGGUAAGGUAACGGCUUACCAAGGCAACGAUGCGUAGCCGACCUGAGAGGGUGAUCGGCCACACUAGAAGUGAGACACGGUCCAGACUCCUACGCGAGGCAGCAGUAGGGAAUAUUCCGCAAUGGGCGAAGGCCUGACGGUACAACGCCGAGUGAGUGAUGAAGGUCUUCGGAUCGUAAAACUCUGUUAUUAGGGAAGAACAAAUGUGUAAGUAACUAUGCACGUCUUGACGGUACCUAAUCAGAAAGCCACGGCUAACUACGUG
rnacentral:rRNA from 1 species